rnacentral:tRNA from 1 species
GGAUUGUGGUUCAGUGACAGAGCGCUUGCCUUGCACGUAUGAGGCACUGGGUUCAAUCCUCAGCACCA